rnacentral:rRNA from 1 species
AGCUCCAAUAGCGUAUAUUAAAGUUGUUGCAGUUAAAAAGCUCGUAGUUGGAUUUGUGGUUGUCUGCUGCUGCUCUUCACUUCGUGUUGAGUUUGUGACAGUCGCCAUCCUUGGGUGGAUCCUGUGUGGCAUUAGGUUGUCGUGCAGGGGAUGCCCAUCGUUUACUGUGAAAAAAUUAGAGUGUUCAAAGCAGGCUUAUGCCGUUGAAUAUAUUAGCAUGGAAUAAUAAGAUAGGACCUUGGUACUAUUUUGUUGGUUUGCGCACCAAGGUAAUGAUUAAUAGGGACAGUUGGGGGUAUUCGUAUUCCAUUGUCAGAGGUGAAAUUCUUGGAUUUUUGGAAGACGAACUACUGCGAAAGCAUUUACCAAGGAUGUUUUCAUUAAUCAAGAACGAAAGUAG